AGGAACCUUCUUAUUCAAAACACCUUUCAAAGUCAAUGCAUAAAAAUAGCAGGCAGCUUCCACUUGCAGGCCUUUUGAAGCUGGAGAAGAGGUGUUUUUCAUGAGAAGAAACUGAGUCCCAGGAAGAUGAAAUGACUUGCUACAUCAGCCACAAGUACUCGCUCAGCAUGAACUGGGCACUGGGAGCUGGACAGCAUCGGCCAUAGAGUGGAGACCACAGUGGACACGGCCCUUCAUAAAUCCUGAGCCUCUUGGAAGGGAGUCAGAGUAGAUGCACAUAGGCCAUCUGCCAUCUUUAUGUGGAGAUGAAGAUAACAGAGCACAGAAGAUUAAGUAAUUUUUCCAAAGAUGCAGAAAUAGAAAAUGACAGAACUUGGCUUCUUAGCCACUAUAUUCUAGCUGCCUCCAACACAUGGGAAGACAGUAGCUCUCGGGUAACGUCUUUGCCUUUGGUCUCUGCAAUCCUUUAUGUACUACUAUUACCUCUCUAAGAAUCUUAAUUUAUUAAUCAGCAAGUGCAUAUUCGGUGCCUGUUAUGUGCACAGAAUGGUUUGUUCACUGUGGAGGUAUAAAGAAAGGCGGCAGGGCUACUUCCUUCAGGAAGUUUACAUCUCUCCAAGAGAAAGCCCCCACGUAUCUGAAAAUAAGCAUAAUGGUACAGAGUAAUAUCAUCAUUCAAUAAAAUGAAAGCUUGAUUUGAUCUGGGUGCUCAGAAAGCUCAAGAAACUGAUUAAAAACAGUGACAGUUGUUUACUUAGUAAGAGUUUACUUAGUGUCUGGUCUCCCCAUGGUGCUUUCAGUUCUCCCUUUACCUCUUUUUUGGCAGCUUAAUUUUACUGCUAUUGUACUACUUAUUGAUAUUUCCUCCACAGAGCGAAUUAACUGGAUUGUCUAUAAGCUCAAAAGAUCUUUGUAAAAGUUUAAAGUGGGAAGAGUCAAAUUCAUGGUCACUGUGGUUUAUAGAUAAAUAGGAAGGAAGGACAGGAGGGAGAGCAGGAGGCAGGCAGCAGGCCUUUUAUCUCAACUACAUUCUUUCCUCCUCGUCAAGAUGGAUAACCGAGGAUGAGUACAUGUUAACAUUGAGUGUUCUCUAUUAUUUCUGGAAUGACCAGGAGUAAACAAAAGGUUUAUAGAUGCUAUUGCAUCUUUAGAUUGGCUAGCAUGGUGGCUGACUCCUAAUAGAGACCUAUCAAAUAUUUAUUGUUCCAUGUAUUUAAUGAAUAAAAUUGAAGAAAACCUAAGGUGGAUCAUUUUAUAGACAAUGAAGAAAAAUCCUCGUGAGUUUGUAUUUUAAUUUGAAGGCAUUUUCCCAGUGCAAUGCACAUCACAUCUUAGGGAGAGAGUUGCAGUCAAUCCGUUAUCCUUAUCCAGAAGCUCCUUAGGAUUAAGGGAUGAGACUCAUUCAUAGUUUAUGACCACUCCCUCCCCAGCGCAGUACCCAGAAGACAGUAAGUAUUUAUUUGAUGGAAAUGCUUGUUGGAUGGAAAAAUGAAUCAUUUGUCAGUAUCUAGUUUGAUGCUGAAGGAAAUCUUAAGUGCUCUGUAACCACCUGUCCUAAGGGUUGGUCCUACACAAAACUAACAGUACACAAGAGCAGUUUUUCAGGAAAAACUUGAUAAGGUAGUAGUCAGACCAUUUACUGUGAAGCCAAGCAGACCCAGAGUCUAGUCCCAUUCCUGCCACUUAGUAGCUAGCUGUAUGACCUCAGGAAAGUUGUGUAACCUCUCUAAGUCUCAAUUUCCCAGUCUUUCAGUUUGGAGCAGUGAUAGUAUUUCACAUGUUCGGUGUAAAGAUUAAGUAAGAUACUCCUCACUGUGACUAACUACACUAAGUGCUCGACCAAUGGUAAAUAAAUAGUUACUCUACAAAGAUCUCAGGAGUUGAGGCUGUGGCCAUUUGGAUCUGUAAAGAAUCCUGACCAAAGUGGGGAAAUCUAAAACACAUAUGCUUCCUGUGUUUCUCUUUCCUUGCUUUAGGGAUUUUGAGUGACAUUUGUUUGGCUUUAUGAGUAUGUGGGAAGAGAUGGGAUGGGACAGGAGCUGGAAAUUCUUUCCACCUCUAGAGAAUGCCCUCUACCAAGGAUUUCUGCUAACAGGGCCCCAUAGGCCCACCCUAUCAGCUGAGGAUGAAAGCAGCCAGAGACAAUGGGAUAUGACACAGUAAUGAGUUCUCAUUUGUCAGGUGUCAGCUUGCCGAUAUGGUCUAAGGCUAUGGUGUUCAAUAAUUCCUAGAAAUUGGUAAUAACGAUACCAUUUACACGGCAGCUCCUCUGGCAGGUUUCAGAGCAGCUCCACAUACACUAUCUGUUUUAAUUUCCACCACAAUGCAGGAGGAACCUGAAAUAAAUAUUAUCGUUCCCAUUGUAUAGAUGAGUACAUACAUUCUAAAAAGCAAAAUGACCAUACCUGAGAUCACUCAGUUGCUCAGGCAUUGACCUCAGACUUGACCCUCACUCGGGGGUCCUUAUUUUAUUUCCAUGAAACUAAAUGGCCUGUUUCUUCUACAGAAUCUCUCUGGCAUUUUGAUUCUUAAGUGUGCUUGUAUCCAUGCUAGACCCUUAAGAAUGUGCGUUUGUAAGAUCAUUUAGUAAUCAGUUGCAGCAGCUAAAAGGGGCAGCCAGUUUUUUUGAAACCUUAUGUGUCUUUUUGGACCAACAGGGAACAAAAUUAUUCAUCUUGAUACAGCAAGUCUUCAAUGAUGUCAAUAGGAAAACAGCCACAGCCAUGCUAAAGGCUUCAAGCACCACCGGUUUUGUCCAGAGGAGGCCAUGGUUAUUCUGGCGAAGUACAAGGCCGAGGUCAUUUUGAGCUGUCACUCUCUUGAGGGUCCGAGUCUAUGAAGCAGAGUAAGCUCAGGACCUACAGCACUGGACCUCUAGGAGGGCAACCUCACCAGCAGAUGAGGUCAUGAUGGAUGAUUCCUAAUUAUGGAGUCCUUUUCAUCUCUCAGUUUAUAUUCUGAGUUUCUACCUAGAAUAAAUUCUACUGUUUC
rnacentral:lncRNA from 1 species